rnacentral:rRNA from 1 species
AGUGAACGCUGGCGGUAGGCCUAACACAUGCAAGUCGAACGGCAGCACAGUAAGAGCUUGCUCUUACGGGUGGCGAGUGGCGGACGGGUGAGGAAUACAUCGGAAUCUACUUUUUCGUGGGGGAUAACGUAGGGAAACUUACGCUAAUACCGCAUACGACCUACGGGUGAAAGCAGGGGAUCUUCGGGCCUUGCGCGAUUGAAUGAGCCGAUGUCGGAUUAGCUAGUUGGCGGGGUAAAGGCCCACCAAGGCGACGAUCCGUAGCUGGUCUGAGGGGAUGAUCAGCCACACUGGAACUGAGACACGGUCCAGACUCCUACGGGAGGCAGCAGUGGGGAAUAUUGGACAAUGGGCGCAAGCCUGAUCCAGCCAUACCGCGUGGGUGAAGAAGGCCUUCGGGUUGUAAAGCCCUUUUGUUGGGAAAGAAAAGCAGCAGGUUAAUACCCCGCUGUUCUGACGGUACCCAAAGAAUAAGCACCGGCUAACUUCGUG